CAGGUCGACUCCCCGGGAGACGUGGUGGAAGCUUGGGGUCAGUGGGGGGAGGGCUGCCCAGCUGUGAGGCAGGAGGGGUUAAGGGAGGGUGACAGGCAAAAGCCACACGGUUCCUGGCUGCCCUCCAGCGACGGUCAGCUGCCUGGGAGGGGGGAAGAGAAGCUGCCUAGGAAUGAGUCCCCAGGAGCAAUGACCUUUCUUGAGCGCUUCCUCCGUGCCAGGCACACUGCUGUCCUCUCUCCAGACGAUGGGCUGCGCCACAGGAAAUUUUGUGAAAUAGAUGCUAUGAUUAUUCUCAUGUGACGGACAGAAGCCCUGGGUGUCAGGGUCACACAGCUAGCAGGUUACCACACCUCCAUUGGUCUGCAGCUAAAGUCCUGGCUACCAUAAAGAGAAAGGGUGGUAGGGGGACAGUGUCCAUUUGGGAUGACUCAAUGGGAAGCGUCCUGAGUAUUUUUUUCUUGAUCCCCCCCGCCCCCAGGAAAGUGGACAGGAACAUGAGCCGGGUGGACAAAUACAGGGAGAGAGGCCCCAUAGCAUGUAGGCAGGGCCUCGUCUGGAGACAUGUCUGUGACUGGCUCUGUGACCUCAGAGAUUGUGCUAAGAACGCUUGGAUGUUUGUAGACAUGGGCAUGGCAGGAAUCUAUGGAGUCUGGCCUUGUCACCACGUCCCUCUGGCAUUUGCUCUGUGACCUGGGACAAGUGAGCCAGUCCUCCUAAGCCUCACCCCUCUGCGCCCUCCUCUGUAUUCCGGGCAUGAUGCUAGUGCCCACCUCCUACCACGGGGCGAGGGCUCCAUGAUCUAGUAGACGAGGAGGCUUAGAGCAGCGCCUGCUCCCGGCCUGAUGAACCUGAGAAGUGUCCUUCGUUACUGACGCAGACCACAUUCCUGGUGGCCCGCCCUGCUGCCGCGGAUUUUUCUCCUGAGAAAGCCCCUUGGGAGAACAAGGAGGGGUUGAGGAUUUGCGCCUUUGCCAGGCGUGGCUCUGGCUGAGGGGCCGUGGGUGAAGGAGACUCAGGGUUCCCCGAGGCUGGAUGGACGUCCAGGCUUAUUCACCGGGGUUAUGAGUGUUGCUGCUCCGCUUCUUCUGCGCCUGCCUGUAUUCAGAAGCACAGGCCAGCCCGGCUUAGACUGGGCGUGGGGCUGCGGGCCUGCCCAGCAUGCUGGGUCCUCC
rnacentral:lncRNA from 1 species